GAGGUCCGGCUUCCAGGAUCGGAUGCUUUCCGAGGUCGGGCAAUUUCUAGGUCGGGCGCCUUCCAGGUCGGGCGCCUUUUUGGUCGGGCGCCUUCCAGGUCGGGCGACUCUUAGGUCGGGCGCCUCCGACCACGUGCUGACGGCCUGCUCACGUGCUUUGGGGCAAUUUAUUUUCCCCCAACAGCUUGAUUUGGAGUCCAAGAAAAAAGUUGAGUUCACCCAUCAAACUCAUCUCGAACUCACUUUGCAUGAGCUUAGCAAAUUCUUCACAUAAACUUUCAUUAGUAGCACCAAAUAUAAUGUUAUCAACAUAUAUUUGAACAAUCAAGAUAUCAGCAU
rnacentral:lncRNA from 1 species